rnacentral:tRNA from 1 species
CCUUUUGUGGUGUAGUGGUUAGCACACUGGGCGCGUGUUCCAGAGGUCCGUGGUUCAAGUCCCGGCGAAGGUG